rnacentral:rRNA from 1 species
CCUGGUAGUCCACGCCGUAAACGAUGAGUGCUAAGUGUUAGAGGGUUUCCGCCCUUUAGUGCUGAAGUUAACGCAUUAAGCACUCCGCCUGGGGAGUACGGCCGCAAGGCUGAAACUCAAAGGAAUUGACGGGGGCCCGCACAAGCGGUGGAGCAUGUGGUUUAAUUCGAAGCAACGCGAAGAACCUUACCAGGUCUUGACAUCCUCUGAAAACCCUAGAGAUAGGGCUUCUCCUUCGGGAGCAGAGUGACAGGUGGUGCAUGGUUGUCGUCAGCUCGUGUCGUGAGAUGUUGGGUUAAGUCCCGCAACGAGCGCAACCCUUGAUCUUAGUUGCCAUCAUUAAGUUGGGCACUCUAAGGUGACUGCCGGUGACAAACCGGAGGAAGGUGGGGAUGACGUCAAAUCAUCAUGCCCCUUAUGACCUGGGCUACACACGUG